AGUAUGCCUGUUCGAGCGUCAUUUCACCCCUCAAGCUUUGCUUGGUAUUGGAAUUCAUCUCUUGAUGUUUCCGAAAGACAGUGGCAGUUUGUAAAACUUCAAGCGCAGUGAAAAUUUUCGUUAGGAGAAUACCAAGCUUGCCAAAAAACCAUAUUCAAAACUUUGACCUCGGAUCAGGUAGGGAUACCCGCUGAACUUAA
rnacentral:misc_RNA from 1 species